rnacentral:lncRNA from 10 species
GUUUCAAGUUUCUUUCAGCAGAGCUUCCUAGAGAGAAGUCCACAGAGAAAGUCCUGGCCGUUUUCAAAGUGAGAUCUUUCUUUGACUAAGAUGGGAAUUGUAUUUCUCUUGGCUUCUUCCUAUUUCAUUUGAAUUAAGAUAUGCAAACCUUACCAUGGACAUUAUAGAUAAGUUACAGAAUUUCUUGGUGGGAAAAUGUGAGAGUUCAUGACCAGCUAGGUCAUGAUGGCACGCAUAGAUGACACCUUCAGUUACAAACUGUGUGCAGGUAACCUUUUCCUCAGGAGAAGUGCUUACUGUUUGAAAACAAUGGUGGAUUUACAACAAAAAUCAUAUGAAAGUCUUAGACAGAACUCUUGUGCCUGCCUUUCCACAAGUGUCUUCUAGGCUUUAUUUUGGAGCCAUUGCAUCAAACACUAUUUCUCAUCUGGUUUUCUAAUGUCAGCCACUGAAGAAAAGACCUGUGCACACAGGACACAGCCUGGUCUGACACUCACGGUGUUUUCCUUUCUCUCUGCAGAGGGACUCAGCGUUUCAGUCAAGCGGCCGGCGGACUGCCUGAAGAAAAAGGUUCCAGGAAGGAGCCCCUGGAAGACAGCAACAAAGGCUCAGCUGAGGACGCUUCCCAAUAUUUGAAGGUACCAACAAGACCUCUCCCGGCACCUCCAGAAAAGGCAAAAGAGACAAACCCUGAGCAGGCAGAAGAAAUAAAACCUAGUGAGCUCAAGGAGGAUGAGGAUGUUAAAGAGCCUGAACUGACCUGUUGUGGCCUUUGUAUUUCAUGGUGGAAAUCACUAAAGAUACCAACAAGUCCUCUCCCAGAACCUGAAGAAAAAGCAAUAGAGACAAACCCUGAACAGGCAGAAGAAAUAAAACCUAGUGAGCUCAAGGAGGAUGAGGAUGCUGAAGAGCCUGACUCGACCUGUUCUGGCUUUUGUACUUCAUGGUGGAAAUCCCUAAAGAUUUGUCAACCUCCGGAAGGGCCGAAACUCGGUAGAUUUCCCUGGCCCGUCAGCCCUCUGGAUCGUGCGAGUAUUGGAGAAUCCCCUUCCUCUGUAGUUUUUUUUGGCCUUCUUUAAUUUUUUAAAAAAAUAUUCUUACUUUAACAUGUUUACUUUUAAGACAGAAGCUGUCAUUGUGUCAUCAUAGCUUACAUUUUAUUGCUGAAGUAAUUUUUCCAUUGUUUUAUUAGGUUUUUUUGGAUCUUUGUCCACUCAUUUUGGAAUUUUUGUAAUUUUGAUAGGUGUUCUUUUACGCUUUGUAUUGUUUUCUUAAUGACUUUUAGCUUAGUUUUUAACAAAUCCAUAGUACAGUAAGUUAUAUUAAGACAGUAUUUCAGCCAGGUGCGGUGGCUCACGCCUGUAAUCCUAGCAGUUUGGGAGGCCGAGGCGGGCAAAUCACAAGGUCAGGAGAUCGAGACCAUCCUGGCUAACAUGUUGAAACCCUGUCUCUACUAAAAAUACAAAAAAUUAGCUGGGUGUGGUGGUGGGCGCCUGUAGUCCCAGCUACUCGGGAGGCUGAGGCAGGAGAAUGGCGUGAACCCAGGAGGCAGAGCUUGCAGUGAGCCAAGAUAGCCCCACUGCACUCCAACCUGGGGGACACUCCACCUCCAAAAAAAAAAAAAAAAAAGACAUAGUAUUUUUUAUGUUUUUAAAUAGCGUAUAUUCUGUAUAUCUUUUCACAUAUAUAUAUAUAUAUAUAAGUGUUAAUGGCCAGGCAUGGUGGCUUACACUUGUAAUCCCAGCACUUUUGGAGGCUGAGGCGGGAGAAUCAGGAGGAUUGCUUGAGCUCAGGUGGUUGAGGCUGCAGUGAGCCAUGAUCGCACCACCGCACUCCAGCCUGCGUGAGAGAGUGAGACCCUGUCUCUAAACAAAAAGUGCUUGUUUAUAUUAAUAUUAGUUAGGAGUCUACUUGUUUAUAGCAGAAUUAAACUGGUUUAUAGCAGAUAUAAGCACUUGGAGGAAAAUAUCACAUUUUCAUUCCAGGCCCUGAGUCUUUAGUAACUGGCUGUGUGCCCUUUAGGGCUCUACGGUUCCUGGUUGAGGAGCAGAGAAAUCAAUUGCUCCAAUGUAAUGGGUGAAGAGUUCCUUAGGGAACGGCUGCGGGGCUCAGCUUUGCUAUUGUCUUCGCUUUCUAGUAAGCCUUGUGUUGCUGAAGUCCAGCUGUGUGAGUAUUAACACACUAACGGUAUUGCGGUAUUGCGAGCUUCUCCGAGCACGUGCAGGCACUGUUGCGAGAAGCUCAACACGUGUAAGCAGUUUGAGAGAAGUCUUUUCAGGGUGUUUUCUUGGGUGAGUCAGGUGGGGGAGAUGGCAUGGGGCUAAGAAGGAAACUGAUUAAUUCAUAUAAAACUGCCAUCCCUUCAUCACCUGAGUUUGAUUUGCAAGCACUGAGCACACUGCAGAUUGAGAAUAUACUUGGAUCUUUAUUGUAGCCUUGUGCUGUGCUCUUCAGAGCCGUGAGUGUGCUUCUCUUACUCACCAUUUGGGUUCUUAUAGAUUGUUGUGCUUGAUGCUGGAAAACAAUUUGAAGACAAGACUCCAAACAGUGACGUAGGCCACACUAGCUGAUUAGAAAAUGAGAAACUUGCGUUAUCGACAGGCUUGGAAGAUUCUUGUGGUCCUGUAGUCACCCGCAUUUCCCUGGUCUUCACCUUGCCAAUCCGUUUUAUUCUCAUUUUCUGUUGCAGUAGCUAUAAUGCCACAACGUUUUGUUUUUUUCCCCCUUUUCUUCCUUCCUGCUGGCACUCAAAUGACCACUCCUAUUAAGUGAUGGAAUUCCAGAAUUUUUUUCUGUAUAUUAAACCUGAUAGAGUUUCACUCAGUUUAUCAUCAUUAGGGUGCAAAGUAGUCACCUAGAGGUGCCACUCAGUAUGUAGCCCUGUGUUUAGAAAUUCAGGGAGCCGUGAAGUAUUUCGCCUCUGCUCUCUGAGACUUCAGCCAGGUGCAAAGAGCAGAUACAGAGCUGAAUGUGAGGUUGGGUGACUUACAUCCAGCAGUACCAGAACGUGCCUGGGAAUCAUGGGGGUGAGAAAUUAACUCUGAUUGAGGCAGGUAUCUCUGAUGCUUUCCGGAAGGAGGAUGGGGUCUGUGCCAGGCCUUGGAUGUGGGAGGACGAGGAGCUGACAGGAAGCAGCAGUGGCCUCAGCAACGGCACUGUUGUGAGGAACAUGGGCUGUGUUUGGGGGACAGCCAGGGGUUUUGUGUGGCAGGUUUACAGCACCUGUAGGAGGCUGCACUGGUAAAUAAGCCC